UUCUUCCUCGUCUCCCUUCGUCAUCUUCUUGUUCUUGGCGAUCUCCCAAAUGGAAACCCUAUUCGAUCCUCCCCAUUUCCCGGUUCUUUCCGUGCGCCCACCCUCACCGCCAUGAGAAGGAGAUCGUUCCACUCCACUUCUGUCGCAUCUUCAUCUUCCCCCCACCUCGAUCCUCCUGCAAACCCUCACCCCCGCCAAACCCUAGAUCGGAUUCGGAUCCUAUGGCACCGAAUCCGCGCGCUCCUUGAAGUCCUGUUGGCACUCCGUAAAAUCGUUAUCGCAACGACAGAGGUCCAGCUAAAAGGGAGAUACCAAGGCCACAAAUAUGGAAUCAAUGAUGCCAGAAGCAUGUGAUGCAACCCCAGAAAGAUUAUGUGGCAGGAUUAUUUCUCUCCAUUUGUACACUCAGCUACCAACACAAAGGACUUUGGCUUUGCGUCCGAGGAUUGAUCGAAGCCAUUUCUGAUCACAGGCAACAUGUACGAAUGCUUGCCAUGGUGGAAAUGAUAAUGCUGCAACUAUGUAUGAUUGCUGUGGAAUGGCUGUGUCGGCAGAGAGAGAGAGAGAGAGAGGAGUAAACCUGGUCUUUUAUUGCCUUGUGGUUGCUAGUUGACAAACGAGGACGGUGACGCAGGAAUAUGCUUGCACUCGCCGAGGAGUACGACGGCGAAUAAAAGCCGCGUCUGUGGGGUCAUUCGCCACGGCGGGAGUUCCCUCCAGUCCGACCAAGAUGCGGCGCGGCUCACACGGGCGUGAGGAGAGUUGCGUCCGAGCAUGAAGACUUCGCUACUCUUUCUCUGUUGUUGCACUAACUCUUUUGUUUUGUGAAACAAAAAGAGAAUCAAUUGAUUCAACCCAUCGGGGCAGAAAAUGUUCUUCAAGGAGAGGUUAUUGGGCGUCUUGUCGAUGUCAGAUUGAGAUCGUCAGGAGGACGAGAGCUUUUUUUCUUUGGAGGACAUCAUAAAGAUUACAGAGAAAACUUCGUAUUGAUUACGCUACUAAGAGGCCCAUUUUAUAUAGAGUUAAAGAUUCGGGAGAA